CUCUUCAGGAUAACUGCGAACUCCCUCACUGAAAGAAAAGUACACCUUGGUAAUUUGAAUGUGAUUAUUAUACACCGCCAUUACACCGAAAUCAAGAAUAUUUAUACCCUUGUUCGACGUAUAUGGGGAAUAAAAUAAUGCUCCGGUGCGAAUGUACUCUAUCACGAGCGUAUUCUUGGGGUUUAAUUCAAUCCAGUUUAACACUCAUGGUGCAAUUCUAACUUUUGAGAUGUUUACCCCUCUAAUUGAUGGAUGGUAAAAUUACUACUAUAGUGUAUUUUCUUCAAGUGGGAUAAGAAUACCCAUCUGAUAGCAUAAAUUUGCACUCUGAUUUGUCAGCUGAUAAUUCAACCCUCAUCAUGGUGUAAAUAUGCAUCCUUGGUAAAGUGUGUUUCGAUGAGGAUGGUGUUAUUUUAUGACAAGGAAUUAAAAUACCCUAGACAUGAUAGUUCUGCGCCCAUAUGCUCAUUAUUUUACGAUGGCGUCCACGUGCGGCUCGCGAGCCUUCCGUUUCCGCCAUUUUCAUUUUUGUGUCUGCUCCGGAGCCACGGAGACUUCUGGCGCUUGCAAGUGAUCUUCUGGCGGUUGAAACAGUGAGAUAGGUGCAAGUGUGCUGGUGCGUUCGGUGUGGUGAUGACUGACUAGUGCUGGACCCAUUUCCGAAUAACUUUGAGGGUUUGGGGUGACCUGGCUCUCGUCGUGGGUCACGCCGGCGAGAAUGGCAUUAGGACAAAGUCACCUCAAUGACGCGACAGGCGUGCUACACCGCACAACUCCUGCCUCCGGAAGGCGCCACAGCCGUUGAAGAUGACGACCUGGCGGCCACCUUGGUGAUCGGUGGCGGCACGACGAUUUCGGAGCUGCAGGAUGGGCGCAACUCUGUGUCCGUUCACCCAGAAACCCAGUGCCUGGUCAACGAUGUGAAAUAUCGUCUCCCAAACAGCGAGAUGAAGAUGCUGGCUGCCUUCGCUGCGGCGCACGCUGUGCUAUAUUUGCCUUUUAGAGGGCCCAGCAUGAUCCUUUUUGAGGUCAUAUAUGCAUGGGUUAUGAAGUUCGCGAUUCCUCUCAGUGCGGCCGGGAGGGCCAUCCUUCGUAUGAUAUAGAAUCCACUGUUGCCGAUUCAGAGGCACCAGUGCAGUGGUCGGGUGACCGAGCAGGGCCCUGUUUCACGGCACGGCACUACUGUGCGCUACUAGUAUCGCGGUAUUGAGUUUACAUAGAAACAUCUACAAACUUGUACGCUCCAACAUUGAGAGCGUUCGAGUAUGUGGAUGUUUCCAAUAGGAACUCAGCACCGCGAUACACGUAACGCACUGUAGUGUCGUGCCGUGAAACAUCUUCAGUACCUAUAGGCACUGAAGAUGAUGUGAGUUGAGAAGGCCUCAGUCAGUUUUUUACGGAGUUUUUGUUGUCAGUGCUUUCCUAGUUCGUACACCUGUGCUUUGAUUUCAGAGACCGUACGUUUGGUGUCGAUACUCGUUACACGAAGAAAUGCUCAGUUGUUUUUAGAGUACAUGAUGAAACGUGACUUAGUGACCUGAUGACCUGUGCUGCUGUGAAUAAAAUGUGAUUUGUGCAGCUUGUGAUCUCCUCAGGGAAGUCAGUGUUGGGAGGAACCAAUCUGUAGCAACCUGUGAUCUGUCGUUUCAAGUUAUUUUAAAUAAACAACACGUUGGAGAGAUGCAA